CGCCCACACAACACAACCCUAUAACCGGCAUAUAAUACAAACAAUUAAAUAAUAAAUAAAAAUAUAAAAGUACAGAAAUGGAAACAACAAUAAAUAAUAGUAACUUUUAACAACUGUACCUCGUGCAUUAUGGUUUUACAAGAAAUUAAUUAAAUAUAUAAAUCCCGAAUUCUAAGUGAGAUGUUAAACUGCUGUUAGGAACCCACUAAUAGCUGUGGAAAAAGCUUUAAAAGACAGUUUAACAGAGGCUACAUACCAUCCGCAUAAGAAUAUAGCUGGUUUUCAACAAACAUUAUACAUUAAAACAUAUAAUUUAUAUUAUAGUGUAACAUUAUUGAGGACAAGCCCAAUAAUCUGAACAAUAGUGCCCCAAAUCUAUCUCUUCCCAUAGGCCUAAUAUCAGCCAACUAAACCACUUUACCGUAACAAGAAUUGAUAUAAUCUAUAACAUUAUAUGUUAAAAAAAGUUGAAAGGAUUGGCAACCUGCCUGACCAACCCCUACUAUGUAAAAAUAAGUAUUAAUAAUUAUAAAUAUCAGAUAACCAGAACCGACAACACACUAUAAAUAAUAACUAAUUAAGGAACUCGGCAAAUCACUAUUUCGACUGUUUAACAAAAACAUUGUCUCAUGAACCAUAUAUGAGAUAAUACCUGCCCAGUGACAUCCGUUCAACGGCCGCGGUAUCCUAACCGUGCAAAGGUAGCAUAAUCACUUGCCUAUUAAUUGUAGGCUAGAAUGAAAGGGUUAACGAAAUAAAGACUGUCUCAAUUAGUAAACUAAAAAUUAUUAUCUAUCUGAAGAAAGGUAGAUACUCUCGAAGGACAAGAAGACCCUAUAGAGCUUAAUUUUACUUAUAGAACCACACUAUAAAAAUAUUCGGUUGGGGCGACCCAGGGUAAAACAAUCACCCACAUCAUAAAAGAUUUAUAAAUCAAGCAAGUGACCCUUAAAAGAUCAUAAAAACAAGCUACCUUAGGGAUAACAGGCUAAUCCCACUCAAGAGUCCUUAUCAACAGUGGGGUUUGGCACCUCGAUGUUGGCUUAGGGUAUCUAUAUAGCGCAAAAGUUAUAUAAAGAUGGUUUGUUCAACCAAUAACACCCCUACAUGAGCUGAGUUCAGACCGGCGUAAGCCAGGUUAGCUUCUAUCCUCGACCCACAUAUUCUCCCCCUAGUACGAAAGGACCUGGGUAGAAUAAUAAAUUAUAUAAAAGAAUUCAUAUAACAAGUAUUAAAUAAAGUCCCUAUAAACUAUA
rnacentral:rRNA from 1 species